UUUUAUGGAGAGUUUGAUCCUGGCUCAGGAUGAACGCUGGCGGCGUGCCUAAUACAUGCAAGUCGAGCGAACGGACGAGAAGCUUGCUUCUCUGAUGUUAGCGGCGGACGGGUGAGUAACACGUGGAUAACCUACCUAUAAGACUGGGAUAACUUCGGGAAACCGGAGCUAAUACCGGAUAAUAUUUUGAACCGCAUGGUUCAAAAGUAAAAGACGGUCUUGCUGUCACUUAUAGAUGGAUCCGCGCUGCAUUAGCUAGUUGGUAAGGUAACGGCUUACC
rnacentral:rRNA from 1 species